CCCAGCCCCCGCCAGGGCCUCAUGGCCAGGCAGGGAACGGGAGGCCUGGAGCUCUGUUACCUUUCACAGCCAGGGAACAAAGAGACAAAGAAAUUCACAGGCUUAGGUCUUAAGUAAGGAUAUAGGUCACAGCGUUGAUGCAUAUGGAAUGGAAGGCAGAAGAGAAUGUUUUCAACACAAACCUGGAUAUCUCUGGUUUAGUCAGGAAGAUUGGGUUUACCAGAAAACUAGAAGAACAUUGAUUAGUUGCUCUAGAGACUGAAAUCCUGUAAUUAUCCUCAGAGGUGAAACAGCUUCUGUGCGUUUGCUGUGACAGCAGGAGGCAGCAUUGUAACAGCAGGACAUCGUGCAGAGGCAGGAAGAUAAAUCACUGGACAUGCUGGAUGCCUAGCUAAAGGCAUGGUAACUAAAAGAGCAGGUUAAAUAUCAUUAGUUAAUUAGCAAGUGAAGUUUGGAUAUUUGGGAUGCAUCCAAAUACCUGAUGUUUCAUAGGUUUCACUUUCUGAGUAAUUUUUUAUUUUGCUAAACAAGUAAAAAAAAUUAAUGAAGAUAUACAAGUAAUUCUACUAACACUUUGGUUUUUAUGCACUACAUUAUUCUAUAUUAAUAUUUUAUCUCUAUAGUCAAUAUUAACCUGAUUAACAUGGUUUUGUCAAUGCACAAACUUAUUACUCUGCAGUAUAGGUAUUAAUUUUCUAUAAAGAUGGCUUCCUUUGGUGUUCCAUUGUUUUGUAAGCAAAGAAAAUGGAAAAACAACAAAGUAAGAAAAUAUUUCAGGAGUUUUGACAGCAGUAUUAAAGAUUAAGAGAUUUUAUAUUUAGAGGGGAAAUCUCAUGUUGAAUUUUUUUUAGUGCAGCUUACCCGUUUUUAUAUAGUACUUAUUUCUAUUUACUAGUUUUCACUGAAGUAACUCUUGGUCUCUGAAGUCAGUAAUUAUUUAAGAAUAGCACAAUUUUCCUAAAACUAGGAACUCUGUCAUUUGUGUUUAAUUUUCAGAGUAGUAACAAAAUUACAAUUUUAAAUUUUCUUUGAAUGUAAGCACUGGGAUUUAAAAAUAUCUCAUUAAAUAUCUGUUCUGUGUUUUAACAGUGUUUUUAUAUAAUCUAGGUAAUGUCAUUUUGCUCUCUCUUACCUUGGACUGAAGACAUUCUUUAACACUUGGGUUGGAUGUAGGCAAAGAGACAUUUUCCUCCCUGCAGAUUAUUUUUCCUCCCCCCAGAUUAUUUUAUACAUCUUCCAGUAUAUGUGAGAGGCAGGCAGAACAGAGGCCAGUUAUUUAAAGAAUAUGUACAUCACAUUUAGUAAUAUUCUACAACAUACUAAAUUUAAAAACCACCCAAUCAAACCAAGAAAAAGCUCCAUACUUUUACAUUCUGCUAAUUUUAGCUGUACACAACCUAUACUUUUUCUACAAGAGACAGCUUGGGGGUUUUAAGGUGUGAUCUACAAAAACAAACAAUGCAGAUGAUUGCUUUAUAUUUAUUUACACUGGUAGCAGCUACCACUGCUUCCUAAAAAGCUUUCUAUUUUCUAAAAUGAAUUUGUUUAUUGUUCAUAAACUCCUUCUAUUUUCAUCAUUGAAACAACAUGACUAUUUCAUACAGGGGCUUCAUAAGACCUCCCAGAGCUACGUGACUUACCAGCUAUGCCUAAGGUUCAAAAAUCCCAUAAAAGUCACAUUUAAAGAGUGAAACCAUUCCAGAGGUUACACAAUGAUGCAACCAAUUGUUCUUAUCAUGCAGAAUACUAUACUGGAUUAUUUGUUUAGGCUUAUUCAAUUUAGUCACAGUACUGGGUAUUUUAAAAUUUUUCAGAGCACAGAGGAAAGUAGAAUUUAAACACUCCUUUUCCUUGAAGGACUUGGAAUGUUGAUCAAAUUAAUUGACCUUGAUGACUAAAUUUGCUUUUAUUUCAUAAAAAUUGAAUAGCCUUUAUAUCAGAUAAAUUCAGCUUCUCAAGAAACUAAUGCUUCUUGGAAAGUUGCUUGAGUAAAAUGUUUAAAACACACACAUCAUCUUUUAGUCUUAAAAGAAAAUUAUUUGCUGAACACAGAGGUGUUGAACUUCUCCAAGCAAGAAAGCUGAGUAAGAUUCAUCAGAAGGGCAAACAACACUUCCCAUAGGCAUCAAAUAUGUGACUUAAGAAUUAACCCUCUCAGAUUUCCUGGAAGGUUUUCAGGCAGUGCACCAAAUUCCUAGUAGAUUGUCAGGAGAAUGGAUGGUAGUAGCAGACACAUCAUUCAAUACAUAUUCAGCAAUGGAAUGUCUGUCCUUAGAGCUGUCGUUUCUUGUGGUACUGCUGGUAGUGUUUGAGAGAAAAUGCUGAUGAAUGUUUUUCCUGGCUCUAGAAAUGUCCUGCAGAAGCUUCAUAUGUGGGUUUUCAACAUACCUAUUUUGGUUUUCACAUCAAUACCCACACAUUUUCCAAAAGCACUGAUAGGAUCCUGCACUUAUGAGUAGUCUUUUACAGUACUGUUUUGAUUCAGCAAAGUUAUCUCAUUUUGCACAGGUUUGCAGGGACUGGUCUGCAUAAAAAUCUAUGCAUAAACUGGGAAAAAAAAAAAAGUAGAUGAGAAUAAAAUGGUGCAGUAAAGCCAUUAAUAGAUGAGAUCAAUGAGAACUGUGAAAUUAUUGAUUUACUUUGUAAAACGAUCUUUAAGGUAAACAAAUAAAGUGAAGAAGUAGGGGGAGGGAAAUGUAUAAGCAUGGGACAAUAAUGCAAAAAUAAAUACAAAGAUAACUCUAGUAAUUGCUGAUCAGAGCUGCAUGAUAGCCAAAGCCAGUAGAAGUGUUCCACUCAUAAAAUUGAAUUGGAUUAAAUACCAUUAUUAAUAAUAGCCAUAACUGUAAUAGUGCCUUGUAUACACACAGUCAUAAACAAGUGACCUUUUGAAAUAAUGGGGUAGUGGACAUAAACUUAAAUCACUGUGUGCAUAUUGAUUAAAUUAUUUCACAAAAUUAUUUGGAAAAUUUUCUUAUACAAAAACCCCCACAUACAAAUCUAAGCUACCUGUAAGCACUGGGAUUUGCUGUGAAGAUAAUUUGUUACUCAAAUUAGCUUCUCUGAGAACAUGAGCCAGGAAUAGAGCCAAUUUAUUUUAAUAUAAGGAAUUCAAAUAAAUGGCAGCAAUUAAGGAUCAUGUUGCACCUUUUACUCCCAUAGUCCAUCUGAGUAAGAAAAGGUGAAUUGUUAGGUAAAGCCUGUGCAUUGUAUUUUGAUAAGAGCUGUGAAAAGUUUUGGAAUUAGAACAUUUAGCUUCUGUAUUUUGCAUAAACACCUCAUCUUUUAAACAGAUAUAUCACAGAAUCAAAGACUUUUAUUGUCUUUUA